UACGUAGGGUGCGAGCGUUAAUCGGAUUUACUGGGCGUAAAGCGUGCGCAGGCGGCCCGUUAAGACAGGUGUGAAAUCCCUGGGCUCAACCUAGGAAUUGCGCUUGUGACUGGCGGGCUCGAGUACGGUAGAGGGGGGUGGAAUUCCUGGUGUAGCAGUGAAAUGCGUAGAUAUCGGGAGGAACACCGAUGGCGAAGGCAGCCCCCUGGGCCUGUACUGACGCUCAUGCACGAAAGCGUGGGGAGCAAACAGG
rnacentral:rRNA from 1 species